GUGGAGCUUGCUCCACGGAUUAGUGGCGAACGGGGUGAGUAACACGUGAAUAACCUGCCCUCAAUUUCGGAAUAACCCAGGGAAACCUGGGCUAAUACCGGAUACGUAAACCUGUGGCAUCACAUGGUUUUGGAAAGUUUUUCGAUUGAGGAUGGAUUCGCGGCCUAUCAGCUUGUUGGUGAGGUAAUGGCUCACCAAGGCGACGACGGGUAGCCGGCCUGAGAGGGUGGACGGCCACACUGGGACUGAGACACGGCCCAGACUCCUACGGGAGGCAGCAGUGGGGAAUAUUGCGCAAUGGACGAAAGUCUGACGCAGCGACGCCUCGUGAGGGACGAAGGUCUUCGGAUUGUAAACCUCUUUCAGCAGGGACGAAGCGAAAGUGACGGUACCUGCAGAAGAAGCACCGGCUAACUAUGUGCCAGCAGCCGCGGUAAUACAUAGGGUGCAAGCGUUGUCCGGAUUUAUUGGGCGUAAAGAGUUCGUAGGCGGUUUUUCGCGUCGGAUGUGAAAACUCAGGGCUCAACCCUGAGCCUGCA
rnacentral:rRNA from 1 species